UGUGACUGCUCCGCUGCUCAUGAAAGACAUUGGGCAACUGUCCCCUACAACACAAACAUACGGGCUGGAGUCCUACCACAGCGUGCUGAAUACCUUUGCAUCAAAGUCUGUGGCUUUUUCUCCUGAAGGAAUGUAUGAAAGAACUUGUCUUGCGGUGCUACAUUUCAAUGAAAAUUCCUGUCGCAAGCAAGCAAGAACUCUAACCGAUGAAGAGAGGUGGAAACUGAAAGUGCCAAAAGGGAGAGGAGGGCAUGUUGUUGCCUGCUCUGUGAAAGAAGAUGCAACAUUCCGCUACGUUGAUGUCCUUUUUGAAAAAACGCUGCAGAGAUGUUCAUCACUGCCAUCAUUCAAGAAAGCGCUGGAGGACACAACCCCAAUUGCAACCCGCCCAAUGAGUGACUCCCACCCACGUCAGCCAAGGGAAGCCAUCAUUGAGGCCCACAAAAGCCGUUUUCUGCACCACUCAGAGCCAGCAUCCAGUCAAUGAAGGCAAUCCAAUCUGUGCACUGAGAAGAGUAUGCAUGAUUAUGAAAUGAGAUA